rnacentral:rRNA from 1 species
ACGCUGAAGCCCUGGUGCUUGCACCGGGGUGGAUGAGUGGCGAACGGGUGAGUAACACGUGAGUAACCUGCCCCCGACUUCGGGAUAAGCCCGGGAAACUGGGUCUAAUACCGGAUAUGACGACCGAAGGCAUCUUUGGUUGUGGAAAGUUUUUUCGGUUGGGGAUGGGCUCGCGGCCUAUCAGUUUGUUGGUGAGGUAAUGGCUCACCAAGACGACGACGGGUAGCCGGCCUGAGAGGGCGACCGGCCACACUGGGACUGAGACACGGCCCAGACUCCUACGGGAGGCAGCAGUGGGGAAUAUUGCACAAUGGGGGAAACCCUGAUGCAGCGACGCAGCGUGCGGGAUGACGGCCUUCGGGUUGUAAACCGCUUUCAGCAGGGAAGAAGCCUUUCGGGGUGACGGUACCUGCAGAAGAAGUACCGGCUAACUACGUGCCAGCAGCCGCGGUAAUACGUAGGGUACAAGCGUUGUCCGGAAUUAUUGGGCGUACAGAGCU